AUACAACACAUUACAAGAUCAACAACAUUGUGAGGGAAAAUCAGAGCACGUAUUUGACAGAAGAACCGGUAUUCCUGGUACUAAUCCAGAAAAGCAGUUUUUCAUCCAAGUUCUGUUUCAGGGCAAAAUCCAGGACAAUCCCCAAAAGAAGACAGCCCCAAGCAAGCUGGGAUGACUACUCAACCUGCAAAGAAGGAGAAUUCAUUUGCUUUGGAAAUGAAGGGGAAAAAAGAGUUAAAGAGAGGAGAGCAGAAUAGAGAGCCGUGAGAUGGAAGGAGCUUAAGGACCCUUGUAAUGAAGUUGGAAUCACUCAGAUAAUACAAGAAAAUCUGGCUCCAGUGUCAUCUUCGGUUAUUAAGAAUCACAGAAACUAGUUUCAAAUCUGGACCAGAUACUCAUUAGCUGUAUA